rnacentral:rRNA from 1 species
AUCAACUUUCGAUGGUAGGAUAGAGGCCUACCAUGGUGGUAACGGGUAACGGGGUGUUAGGGCACGACACCGGAGAGGGAGCCUGAGAAACGGCUACCACAUCCAAGGAUGGCAGCAGGCGCGCAAAUUACCCAAUCCCGACACGGGGAGGUAGUGACAAUAAAUAACAAUACGGGGUCCUUUCGGGUUUCGUAAUUGGAAUGAGUACAAUUUAAAUCUCUUAACGAGGAACAAUUGGAGGGCAAGUCUGGUGCCAGCAGCCGCGGUAAUUCCAGCUCCAAUAGCGUAUAUUAAAGUUGUUGCAGUUAAAAAGCUCGUAGUUGAAUUUCGGGAUUAGUACGUUGGUCGUGCCUUCGGUACGUACUGGUGUUACUGAUUCCUACCUUCUGACGAACCAUCAUGUCAUUAAUUUGGUGUGGCGGGGAAUCAGGACUGUUACUUUGAAAAAAUUAGAGUGUUUAAAGCAGGCUCGCGCUUGAAUACAUUAGCAUGGAAUAAUGAAAUAGGACGUUGACCCUAUUUUGUUGGUUUCUAGGAUUGACGUAAUGAUUAAUAGGGAUAGUUGGGGGCAUUAGUAUUCAAUUGUCAGAGGUGAAAUUCUUGGAUUUAUUGAAGACUAACUACUGCGAAAGCAUUUGCCAAGGAUGUUUUCAUUAAUCAAGAACGAAAGUUGGGGGAUCGAAGACGAUCAGAUACCGUCGUAGUCUUAACCAUAAACUAUGCCGACUAGGGAUCGGAUGAUGUUAUUUUUAAUGACUCAUUCGGCGCCUUACGGGAAACCAAAGUGUUUGGGUUC